rnacentral:tRNA from 1 species
GGGUGUGUAGCUCAGUUUGGUAGAGCAGCGAUCUCCAAAGUCGCCGGUCGGGGGUUCGAGUCCCUCCGCACUCG